UACACAGAUUGUGAGUGAUUACGGGUGGAGCCAAAUCUGUGAUGAGAAGAUGCUGGAAGCCAUUUGUCAGAAAGUUAUAAAACAAUACCCACAGAAGGUGAAGCAAUUCCAGAAAGGGAAGGAGAGGGCCUUGAAUCCCUUGCUUGCUGAAGUGAGAGUUGCUAGUUUGAACAGAGCUGAUAUGGCCCAAGCUAAAGAAAUCAUGAUUAAGUUAUUGAAAGAAAAAAACUAAACUAUAUAUGUAAAAACAACUAAUGUAAUGUAUCCUUUUCUAGCUCAAGAUAAGCUUCCCAGAAAUACUAGUUGGUAGAUUUCUGAAUUUUUAAUGUCAACAGUCACGUUAACCAUGAUAUUCUAUUUGGUGUAAAUACACAACUAUUGAUUUUCUUAACACUGGUUUAUUGUUAGUCAGAAAUGAUAAAGCUAAUAUGGCCUUCACACACACACACACACAGUUCAUCAUUCAUUCAGUCACAAGAUGUUUGUGUGUUAAUUUACAAGUGUAUAACCCAUAUAAAGACUAGUAUAUUCAAAAUACCAAAUUUAUUGCUUUCUUCAGCCACUACAAAACUGAUUCAUUAUCAACAUAGAAAAUUUCAGAAUUAACACAAAACAGUGAUAUUAGAAGCCAUGUUUCCAAUUAUAAGAACAGUUUAAGGGGUACUGAGAUAUAUAAAAGAAUUUGUGUGUAAUAUAUCACAAAGGCUACUUCUGAUUGUUCAAGAUAUGUACUUUAAGCUCUUGCAUAGGCUAAUGGUUUAAACAACUAUACCAAGUCAUGGUCACUAACUAUAAACAUUUUGCACAACAAUAUCAAUCAGUUUAAU